CGGGCACUCUGAAGAAACUGCCGGUGACAAGCCGGAGGAAGGUGGGGAUGACGUCAAGUCCUCAUGCGCCUUACGGGCUGGGCUACACACGUGCUACAAUGGCGGUGACAGUGGGUUGCGAUCCCGCAAGGGGGAGCUAAUCUCAAAAAGCCGUCUCAGUUCGGAUUGCAGUCUGCAACUCGACUGCAUGAAGUCGGAAUCGCUAGUAAUCGCGGAUCAGCAUGCCGCGGUGAAUCCGUUCCCGGGCCUUGUACACACCGCCCGUCACACCAUGGGAAUUGGGUUUACCCGACGACGGUGCGCUAACCUGGCAACAGGAGGCAGCCGGCCACGGUAGGCUCAGUGACUGGGGUGAAGUCGUAACAAGGUAGCCGUAGGGGAACCUGC
rnacentral:rRNA from 1 species